rnacentral:rRNA from 1 species
GACGAGGAGCUUGCUCCUUUGACGUUAGCGGCGGACGGGUGAGUAACACGUAGGUAACCUACCUAUAAGACUGGGAUAACUUCGGGAAACCGGAGCUAAUACCGGAUAAUAUUUCGAACCGCAUGGUUCGAUAGUGAAAGAUGGCUUUGCUAUCACUUAUAGAUGGACCUGCGCCGUAUUAGCUAGUUGGUAAGGUAACGGCUUACCAAGGCAACGAUACGUAGCCGACCUGAGAGGGUGAUCGGCCACACUGGAACUGAGACACGGUCCAGACUCCUACGGGAGGCAGCAGUAGGGAAUCUUCCGCAAUGGGCGAAAGCCUGACGGAGCAACGCCGCGUGAGUGAUGAAGGUCUUCGGAUCGUAAAACUCUGUUAUUAGGGAAGAACAAACGUGUAAGUAACUGUGCACGUCUUGACGGUACCUAAUCAGAAAGCCACGGCUAACUACGUGCCAGCAGCCGCGGUAAUACGUAGGUGGCAAGCGUUAUCCGGAAUUAUUGGGCGUAAAGCGCGCGUAGGCGGUUUUUUAAGUCUGAUGUGAAAGCCCACGGCUCAACCGUGGAGGGUCAUUGGAAACUGGAAAACUUGAGUGCAGAAGAGGAAAGUGGAAUUCCAUGUGUAGCGGUGAAAUGCGCAGAGAUAUGGAGGAACACCAGUGGCGAAGGCGACUUUCUGGUCUGUAACUGACGCUGAUGUGCGAAAGCGUGGGGAUCAAACAGGAUUAGAUACCCUGGUAGUCCACGCCGUAAACGAUGAGUGCUAAGUGUUAGGGGGUUUCCGCCCCUUAGUGCUGCAGCUAACGCAUUAAGCACUCCGCCUGGGGAGUACGACCGCAAGGUUGAAACUCNAAGGAAUUGACGGGGACCCGCACAAGCGGUGGAAGCAUGCGGUUUAAUUCGAAUCAACGG